GUACGGCCGCAAGGUUAAAACUCAAAUGAAUUGACGGGGGCCCGCACAAGCGGUGGAGCAUGUGGUUUAAUUCGAUGCAACGCGAAGAACCUUACCUGGUCUUGACAUCCACGGAAGUUUUCAGAGAUGAGAAUGUGCCUUCGGGAACCGUGAGACAGGUGCUGCAUGGCUGUCGUCAGCUCGUGUUGUGAAAUGUUGGGUUAAGUCCCGCAACGAGCGCAACCCUUAUCCUUUGUUGCCAGCGGUCCGGCCGGGAACUCAAAGGAGACUGCCAGUGAUAAACUGGAGGAAGGUGGGGAUGACGUCAAGUCAUCAUGGCCCUUACGACCAGGGCUACACACGUGCUACAAUGGCGCAUACAAAGAGAAGCGACCUCGCGAGAGCAAGCGGACCUCAUAAAGUGCGUCGUAGUCCGGAUUGGAGUCUGCAACUCGACUCCAUGAAGUCGGAAUCGCUAGUAAUCGUGGAUCAGAAUGCCACGGUGAAUACGUUCCCGGGCCUUGUACACACCGCCCGUCACACCAUGGGAGUGGGUUGCAAAAGAAGUAGGUAGCUUAACCUUCGGGAGGGCGCUUACCACUUUGUGAUUCAUGACUGGGGUGAAGUCGUAACAAGGUAACCGUAGGG
rnacentral:rRNA from 1 species